GAUGAACGCUGGCGGCGUGCCUAAUACAUGCAAGUCGAGCGAACAGACGAGGAGCUUGCUCCUCUGACGUUAGCGGCGGACGGGUGAGUAACACGUGGAUAACCUACCUAUAAGACUGGGAUAACUUCGGGACACCGGAGCUAAUACCGGAUAAUAUAUUGAACCGCAUGGUUCAAUAGUGAAAGACGGUUUUGCCGUCACUUAUAGAUGGAUCCGCGCCGCAUUAGCUAGUUGGUAAGGUAACGGCUUACCAAGGCAACGAUGCGUAGCCGACCUGAGAGGGUGAUCGGCCACACGGGAACUGAGACACGGUCAAGACUCCUACGGGAGGCAGCAGUAGGGAAUCUUCCGCAGUGGGCGGAAGCCUGACGGAGCAGCGCCGCGUGAGUGAUGAAGGUCUUCGGAUCGUAAAACUCUGUUAUUAGGGAAGAACAAAUGUGUAAGUAAAUAUGCCCGUCUUGACGGUACCUAAUCAGAAAGCCACGGCUAACUACGUG
rnacentral:rRNA from 1 species